rnacentral:lncRNA from 10 species
AACAACUGUCACACUAGUGAACACCCCAUUACAGAGGAGAACAGACUAACUCUAAGCCUUUUACUCAUACUUAAUUAUGUCCUGAUUAUUCUCCAAAGACUGGAUCACUUUCCUGAAACAGCUUAAGUCAGGAUUUCUCCUAUUUCAGCCAGCCUCUGCCAGGCAGCUCUGAACCCUUACAGGAGAAACAGACCCUGGGGAAGGGGGAAAGAGAAGUCCUUUAGGUGGUUAUGCGGAAUAUUCCAUUGCUUUCUGGACUGAGUCAGACUCAAGACUCAUAAUGAGCAUCCUACAAAUAACCUGCACUGACUCUUCGAGUUACUAACUUUAUUAAUAAGCUUCCCUUUCAGCACAAUACAUUGCCAGCAUCCCAGAUGACAGCAAUGGAAGGGGCUUAGAGGACAAUCAAGCAUCACGCUGUGUCAGUGGAGUGGAGUGGAGAGAAUGAUAUGAAGACAAACAUGAAAUGAUCCACAGCUCUGUUCUGUUUGGAUUUGGAAUCUCUCAUAUUAUUUUUGGUUGGAAAAAGCUAUAUAUGAUAGAGCACUGCCUGGAGUACAAGAAACAGAAGUCGUAGUCCUUAACAUCAAGAGCUUGCUGAGGUUGAUUAACAGCAACAACAGAGAGUAUGAGUAUGAGCUAAUGAAUGACCAGCCACCAAGUACAUGACUGGUCACAAACUGGGUGUCAGGAAAGAAGGAGGGGAGCUGCAAUGUACUUUGGACUACAGCAUGCAGUGUGAAGCUCUGUGGAGUAAUUAGGAUGCCUCAGAAGGACAUAGAGAAGGAGAAGGGUCAUGCUGACAGGAUGUGGAACAGGAAUGGACAAAAAUUUUUUUUCUUAUUUAAUAGUUCCUUAGAUCCUGAAGGGACACAGCUGGGUGGGGGAAACCCUGCUGGUAGGUCAGUAAGAAAGUUAGACAUUAAUAGCAAGGAGAUAGCUCUGAAUGGUUAUAAGUGUGAGUGGACAGCAAUAGCUGGAAGGGACUAUUGGGACAUAUGUUUAUGUGUGCUUGUCAUAAAAUUCUAACUUUUCCGAUGAAAUUUCCUCAUUGAAACACAGGGCACCUAGUUCUCCUGGGUUAUGUAUUUACUGUGCUCAGCACCUCUUACUAAUCAUUGCCACCGCCACACCAUCAACAGAUUACUUCCUUAAUUACAGCAUGUCUCCUCAUCAUUCUCCCAGGUAUUUUAGUUUCUAAAAAUGUAAAGGUUUAGGGAAAGAAUUCUGGAUUUCCCAAAACAAUCUUUCCCUACCCUUCAGUUCUGCUCAACCUAUGAGAAGUAGAGUACCAUUAAAUGAAGAGCACUUCAAGUGCUCUACAAGGCUUGACAAGAG